rnacentral:lncRNA from 1 species
AUGACAUGCACAUGCCCACCUGAUUCUGAUUUCUACUCCAGUGUAUCAUCAUCCCUACCUUAUGGCUUGCCAAGACGGUUUACACUCGCAAGUAUCGAUCCACUGCCGACACACAAUCCAGAGUUUGCCACCCUGCGGCUUAGGAGCCGCUUCACUUGCAGACCCCUCCCAAUCCGAGACUCCAGGAUUGCCCAGAGAGACAGGGGAGGGCUGACCCACCCUGCACCGGGCUCUCAGAUUACGGCUCAGGGUGGGCUCAGGCGGGGCGGGAGCACUCCAUACUCCACACCGCGGGUGCGCUGGGGGCCGUUUGCCCCAGAGUAUCUCCCACCUCGCUCCCCAUCCAAAUUCCAGAUUUUCGCAGGCCUUUCUAGACGCCCCGGGGUUUUUCUCUGGAGGCGAGGGGCAGGGCUAUCUAUGGUGGUGGUGGUGGUGGCGGUGACCAUGGGCGUAGGCGCGGGGGGCUGUCCAGCGGGGCACCGCGCUGGAGCGCUGGCGAGUGUGCGGCACGGCGUGGGGACGUGUGUUUGUGUCGCCGGCUGCGUGCACCAGGGGAUGGUCAAACCACACCGCCGCCACGUCCCCAGUGCCACCCAGCGCUAUGAACAAGAGCAAGAAAAGCAAAACAGAAAGAUAAGAGGAGGGGGCAACAGAAAGUCGGUGCGGGGGUGGAUUCCAGAGCGUGCGGACCUGCGCGCGCUGCGCUCUUGCGGGACUCUGGCGCCUUGGCCGGCGGACGCCGGGCCCUGGGGGCCGAAGACACAGACAGGCUGUGGCCGUGAACUGACCCGGGGACUCGGAGGGGCUGCCUGGGUUAGGUGUCAGCGGCCAGCUCCGUUCGCUCUCCGCUCUGUUCGCGCCCCCCGUCCCGAGAGACUCUCCCCGUGGAUAUUUCCACACAUGCCAGAGCCUUGGCGCCGCGCCCAGGGACCUGCUGGUCGGUGGACCCUCCCUGGGAAUGAUUUUGUAGCUCACAGCAACCUGGGGUCAGCGAUGGUCAGGGAGAACAGGGAUGCGAGAGCUGGAGGGGGGUCGGAGGCGGAGUGUGUGCCUCCUUCUGUGUCAAUAACCCGGGAGGAUUGUCUCCUUUGGAACGCACUCCCAGGGCAGCCGCCGCCUAUCCCGCGGGGGGCACGCCAGGGGCGCGGGGCAGAGCUCGCAAGUGGAAUUUCUUUGCGUCCUCCGCGGGGUUCCGCGAGCUACAAGUUAGCCGCAACUGCCCAGGUCUGCAGGUGCAGACGCCGCGGUCCCUGCUCUACCACCCCGCGGCUUGCCGGCAGGGUCCCGGACCCAGGGGAGGCUGACUGGCGAGCCCUGGGCAUAGUCUGA